UCCCUGGUAAUCUAGUGGUUAAGACUCUGCACUUUCAAUGCAGGAGACUCAGGUUAGAUCCCUGGUCAGGGAA
rnacentral:tRNA from 1 species